CACCAUUAAUCCUUCCAUUUUCAUAUUUCUUUUUCUUAUUUAAAAUAUUUUCUUUGUCCAUAACAUUACCCAAAAAUAUAUUUCACUUUUCUUAACGUUUUAUUUAAUUUUAUAUAAUUUUUAUUUUCGUAUUUUUUAAAUAUUAAUAUUUUAUUUUAAUUAUUUAUUCUAAAUGGUCCAUUUUAACACACUUUUUUAUUGAUUUUAUUUUUAUGACUUAAAAUUAUUGUCAGCAUUUGAUUUUUGGGAUGAAGGUUG
rnacentral:lncRNA from 1 species